UCCGGUUUGUCACCGGCAGUCUGGCGUGAGUCCCCAACUUAAUGCUGGCAACACGCCACGGGGGUUGCGCUCGUUGCGGGACUUAACCCAACAUCUCACGACACGAGCUGACGACAGCCAUGCAGCAUCUGUGGUGCACCCUCGAAGGUCACACGUUUCCGUGCGCUUGCAGCACCAUGUCAAGCCCAGGUAAGGUGGGGAUGACGUACUUGCUAGGUAA
rnacentral:misc_RNA from 1 species